rnacentral:rRNA from 1 species
GACGAACGCUGGCGGCGUGCCUAAUACAUGCAAGUCGAACGAAGCUGUUUUAACUGGUGCUUGCACCGACUUAAACAACUGAGUGGCGAACGGGUGAGUAACACGUGGGUAACCUGCCCCAGAGCGGGGGAUAACAUUUGGAAACAGAUGCUAAUAUCGCAUAACCACAGAAACCACAUGGUUUCUGUGUCAAAGAUGGUUUCGGCUAUCACCUUGGGAUGGACCCGCGGCGUAUUAGCUAGUUGGUAAGGUAAUGGCUUACCAAGGCAAUGAUACGUAGCCGAACUGAGAGGUUGAUCGGCCACAUUGGGACUGAGACACGGCCCAAACUCCUACGGGAGGCAGCAGUAGGGAAUCUUCCACAAUGGACGAAAGUCUGAUGGAGCAACGCCGCGUGAGUGAAGAAGGUUUUCGGAUCGUAAAACUCUGUUGUCAGAGAAGAACGUGUGCGAGAGUAACUGUUCGUGCAGUGACGGUAUCUGGCCAGAAAGCCACGGCUAACUACGUGCCAGCAGCCGCAGUAA